rnacentral:rRNA from 1 species
UACAGAGGUGGCAAGCGUUGUUCGGAAUUACUGGGCGUAAAGGGCGCGUAGGCGGUUCGUUAAGUCCUGUGUGAAAUCCCCCGGCUCAACUGGGGAACUGCACAGGAAACUAGCGGGCUUGAGUUCGGGAGAGGGAAGCGGAAUUCCGGGUGUAGCGGUGAAAUGCGUAGAUAUCAGGAGGAACACCUGUGGCGUAGACAGCUUACUGGACCAUUUCUGACGCUGAGACACGAAAGCGUGGGUAGCAAACAGG